GUACGGAAGGCAGCAGUGGGGAAUAUUGCACAAUGGGCGAAAGCCUGAUGCAGCAACGCCGCGUGAGCGAUGAAGGCCUUCGGGUCGUAAAGCUCUGUCCUCAAGGAAGAUAAUGACGGUACUUGAGGAGGAAGCCCCGGCUAACUACGUGCCAGCAGCCGCGGUAAUACGUAGGGGGCUAGCGUUAUCCGGAAUUACUGGGCGUAAAGGGUGCGUAGGUGGUUUCUUAAGUCAGAAGUGAAAGGCUACGGCUCAACCGUAGUAAGCUUUUGAAACUGAGAAACUUGAGUGCAGGAGAGGAGAGUAGAAUUCCUAGUGUAGCGGUGAAAUGCGUAGAUAUUAGGAGGAAUACCAGUUGCGAAGGCGGCUCUCUGGACUGUAACUGGCACUGAGGCACGAAAGCGUGGGGAGCAAACAGGAUUAGAUACCCGGGUAGUCG
rnacentral:rRNA from 1 species